AUUGAACGCUGGCGGCAUGCCUUACACAUGCAAGUCGAACGGCAGCGCGGGGCAACCUGGCGGCGAGUGGCGAACGGGUGAGUAAUAUAUCGGAACGUACCCAGGAGUGGGGGAUAACGUAGCGAAAGUUACGCUAAUACCGCAUACGAUCUACGGAUGAAAGCAGGGGAUCUUCGGACCUUGUGCUCGUGGAGCGGCCGAUAUCUGAUUAGCUAGUUGGUGAGGUAAUGGCUCACCAAGGCGACGAUCAGUAGCUGGUCUGAGAGGACGACCAGCCACACUGGAACUGAGACACGGUCCAGACUCCUACGGGAGGCAGCAGUGGGGAAUUUUGGACAAUGGGCGCAAGCCUGAUCCAGCAAUGCCGCGUGAGUGAAGAAGGCCUUCGGGUUGUAAAGCUCUUUUGUCAGGGAAGAAACGGUUGGGGCUAAUAUCCCCGGCUAAUGACGGUACCUGAAGAAUAAGCACCGGCUAACUACGUGCCAGCAGCCGCGGUAAUACGUAGGGUGCAAGCGUUAAUCGGAACUACUGGGCGUAAAGCGUGCGCAGGCGGUUUUGUAAGUCUGUCGUGAAAGCCCCGGGCUCAACCUGGGAAUUGCGAUGGAGACUGCAAGGCUUGAAUCUGGCAGAGGGGGGUAGAAUUCCACGUGUAGCAGUGAAAUGCGUAGAGAUGUGGAGGAACACCGAUGGCGAAGGCAGCCCCCUGGGUCAAGAUUGACGCUCAUGCACGAAAGCGUGGGGAGCAAACAGGAUUAGAUACCCUGGUAGUCCACGCCCUAAACGAUGUCUACUAGUUGUCGGGUCUUAAUUGACUUGGUAACGCAGCUAACGCGUGAAGUAGACCGCCUGGGGAGUACGGUCGCAAGAUUAAAACUCAAAGGAAUUGACGGGGACCCGCACAAGCGGUGGAUGAUGUGGAUUAAUUCGAUGCAACGCGAAAAACCUUACCUACCCUUGACAUGUACGGAAGCCACGAGAGAUCGAGGCGUGCUCGAAAGAGAGCCGUAACACAGGUGCUGCAUGGCUGUCGUCAGCUCGUGUCGUGAGAUGUUGGGUUAAGUCCCGCAACGAGCGCAACCCUUGUCAUUAGUUGCUACGCAAGAGCACUCUAAUGAGACUGCCGGUGACAAACCGGAGGAAGGUGGGGAUGACGUCAAGUCCUCAUGGCCCCUAUGGGUAGGGCUUCACACGUCAUACAAUGGUACAUACAGAGGGCCGCCAACCCGCGAGGGGGAGCUAAUCCCAGAAAGUGUAUCGUAGUCCGGAUCGCAGUCUGCAACUCGACUGCGUGAAGUUGGAACCGCUAGUAAUCGCGGAUCAGCAUGUCGCGGUGAAUACGUUCCCGGGUCU
rnacentral:rRNA from 1 species